GAGGUUCUGUCACUGGAUGACAUCACAAUGGCCUCAUUAAGGGGACUACCUCUGUUAUCUCUCCUGGCCUUGUCUCAAUGAAGCGCCAGCUCAAUGCACCUAGUUGCAUUUAAACUUAGAGUACAUACAUUUUUAAAAAAUAAAUAUAUUUUUAAAAAUCAUAAAUUAGGCUCUCAAAAUACAUGACAUGCAUGAACAGCAAUGAAACUUUUUUCAAAACGGGUUCCUUUAACUUUCUUGCAUAACUGCAACCAGCACUUUUGUUUAAAUAUAUUAGCUGUGCUGGUUGUGGUGCCAGAAAGGGUGAUGGUGAUCUGUCCCUCCAGCACCCAGGUAUUCCAUAAACCUGGGAGAGCUGCAGGACCAUGGACAGCACUGGCCCUUCUCACAGGCAGGGGGGCAGGUGUGGCUCAUUGUAAUUAGACCAGCUGCUCCCCAUUGCCUGAUCACUGGGCCUUAUAAAAGAGCCUUGCUCACAGGCGUAAGGAAUCCUUUUUCUGAAAGGUUGUUGUGUUUGAAGGGUUAGUUUGAUGUGGACUUUUGGCCUCUGGUUGUUUUUUCAUGACAGUUUUUUUUUUUUUUUUUUGUUUUUUUUUUGUUUAAGUAUUUAUUUAUUUAUUUUUUGUUUUUCAUUUCCUGGACGAAUGAAAAUCAUCGGCCCCUGUGAACACCUGACAGGCAUCUCAGCAGGAAGUGCAAGUGAGAGCCUGUUCAUGCUCUGUCCCUGUACACAGGAAGGAGUGGUCUCAAACGUACAGCACCGGAUCAGUUACUGAGAACGCAAGCUGUCGCUGUGCAUACAGGAAGUGCUUUGGUUACUGAAGCUCCUGUGUCAGUAAAAGGAAAAUGUAAACUGCUGGUGGUUGUCAAAAACGAAUUACUCAAUUCAUGCACUGGUUUUUAAAGUUAAGAAAGCUCCUCUUCUUUUUGUACUGUACUUCUUCUUUUUCUUCUUAUUAUUAAUAUUACUAUUACUAUUAUUGUUACUAUUAACAAUAAUAUU